rnacentral:rRNA from 1 species
CCGGGAUGAGCUCAAAUUUGAAAUCUGGCGUCUUUCAGGCGUCCGAGUUGUAAUCUAUAGAGGCGUUUUCCGCGCCGGACCGCGUCCAAGUCUCUUGGAAUAGAGUAUCAAAGAGGGUGACAAUCCCGUACUUGACGCGACAACCGGUGCUCUGUGAUACGUUCUCAAUGAGUCGAGUUGUUUGGGAAUGCAGCUCUAAAUGGGUGGUAAAUUCCAUCUAAGGCUAAAUAUUGGCGAGAGACCGAUAGCGAACAAGUACCGUGAGGGAAAGAUGAAAAGCACUUUGGAAAGAGAGUUAAACAGCACGUGAAAUUGUUAAAAGGGAAACGAUUGAAGUCAGUCGUGUGGGAAGUAUUCAGCCGUCUCUGGCGGUGUAUUUGCUUCUCACGGGUCAACAUCAGUUUGAUCCGGUAGAAAAAGGCGGGAAGAAGGUGGCACCCUCGGGUGUGUUAUAGCUUCCUGUCAUAUGUGCCGGACCAGACUGAGGAACGCAGCUUGCAGCAAUGCCGGGGUUCGCCCACGUACAAGCUUAGGAUGUUGACAUAAUGGCUUUAAACGACCCGUCUUGA